rnacentral:tRNA from 1 species
UCUGUGAAUGUAGCUCAGAGGUAGAGCACUUGCUUACAAUGUGUGAGGCUCUGGGUUCAAUCCCCAGAAUGGCAGAA